GGGGACGAACUGGAUUCGACGGGUUUAGGUCGCUAAGGAUUGCGUGCCGAGCGUUUUCCGUGUGCUCGUAAACCAAACGGUAAACCAAUAAACAACAACAACGCAUACGCGUUGGCUGCCUAAGAGUUAAUUCUCUGCAGUCCGUUUUAACUUACUUCCGUCUAUCGAGGUUGGUUAAGACGUCAUUUUGAUAGACUAGCCGAGUGCCAAUGCUCGGAGGCACAAGGCGAAUAUCCCGCAAGGGAUUAUCGAGCUCGCUUACCUGCUUUUGGUUCGCUUUUGAUAGGUAAGUUAAAAUAAAAAGCGGCGCUACGCACGUAGAGGUCUUUAGUAGCUUAUUCUCGGACACGGGUUCAAUUCCCGUCGUCUCCACAU
rnacentral:tmRNA from 1 species